GAAAAAUACCAGGGAAUUUCUAAUUAAUUAAGAAAGGCAAUGAACAGGUGAAUGGCACAGUAUUUUUUAUUCAUUCACAGAUUGCCUUAAAAUAUUUCUAUUUCUAGACUGUUACUACAUUUUCUAUUUCUACAUAUUUCUACAGUGUGUGAAGAAGAAGCUGAAUCUUUUUUUAAAUAAUUAUAUCCAGUGUGUCCACACUCUCAUUUAUGUUUUAUAAGUCACUCUCAGCUAUACUAACUACAUUCUGCUUCAAGAAGUGGAGGAUUUUGUGCAAAUUAUGAGAUCUUUUUCAGCUACAGACUCAUAAACUGUGAUCUAACAGCAGUGACAAUCCAUGGAAAGAGGAAAAUUGUUGAUACUGGCUCUUUGAAAAUUUCACGUGCCCUCAGGCUUUGCCUUGAGGAAAGAUGCUUGGGUGGCAGCAGAAGAGCAUUCUCACAGAAUGACAUUUGACGUGGAAGUGCUUAUGAAACAAAAGAGUGGGAAUGAAUUCCUACAUGAGGAAAAAAAUGUACCCAUUGACAUUUAUUGAUGCUUGCUGAAUGUUUAUGGAGACCAAACAGUGGAUAGAGUCCCAAAGAUUUUCCUGCAUGACUUCAUACCUUGGACUGCAGCAGACUCUAGAAUCAGUGAAUCUAAUCUCUCAGGAUCCCUAGGAAGAUCCUCACCCUUAUGGAAACUUGGAUUGACCUUGUCGAAAUAAUCUUUGUUGUCUUCCACAAGAUUCUCUUGGCUCUAAUACUAUGUAUAUGUUUUGUUACAAAGAAGAGGAAUUUUGAACUUUAUUCAGGCAAUCUAAUGUAGGAAUAAGUAUAAUGAACAGGAUAUAAAAAUGACAAGAAAAAAAUGAUAGAACAAUGAGCAAUUCAGACUGCUUGUUUUCCAGGACUGUCGAUCUUUGACAUCUUAAGCCAUUGCUGAAGAGAAGGUGCCAUGGUGUCUGUUAGACCUGCCCACCGUAGGUAGUCUAUUUAAUUAACCAUUGCAGUGUUUGUAUACCUCCUUUCAUUCUGUUCCAGAUUUCUUAGAAAGAUAUUUCCCAUUAUUUAGUACAGUGAGGAGCAUCUAUCAUGUUUUGCAGGAAUUCAGCAUGAAGUUACUGUGGAAGGCCAGGCCACAUAGGAAAUUGAGCUGAAAGAAGACAUUAAUACUUCAGCUACAACUUGCACAAUUUAUCACAGAGAACUAAAUCCUGUGUUCCCAGUAGAAGAAUUUGGGUUUGCUUUUUUUUUUUUUCUUAUAAUUGAAAGUUCUUAUAGGAAAAUAGUCUCAAUUCAUAGUAUCCUACUGACACUUAGAGGGAGUGGGGGAGAAAAAGAGAUAUUUCUAAGAUUUUUGCAAACUGAUUUCAAGCUGGAAAGGAAGCAGUCACAAUCUUCUUCAUCUUCAAAAAGUUCUGUGUGAUGGAGGAAGGGUGGAA
ensembl:lncRNA